UGGGGUCGAUGAAAUUCUUUAUUAUCAUAGUGUGAAUACUUCAGACUUAUUCAUAGAUAGUUGUCAAUCACGUUCAACAGGACAUUGGUAUUGGACACAAUAUUUUUUGUCAACAUAGUCCAGGAAAGCCGGGUCGCCCCGGGUUAGACUGAAGAAUAUUUGUUCUAUUCAUUUUAGCUAUACAUCAAACACCAUUUUUAUUACAGUGGACAUUUAGGCUUAAAAUACUUUACAUUCACGUUUUGUUAUAAACAAUUUGAUGAAUACGAGAUUAUACAUAACAAAAGAAUAUAUUUUUUGUAUAUUGUCUAAUAUAUUCCACAUAAGUUUGAUGUUUCUGUGGCUUUCCUCCUCGCAGUGAGGGCCUGUUUAUAAUGGAUGUUUAAAAUGUCACUAAUAAAUAAACUAGAAGUGCACAUUGAAGGUUUUUUCACCUUUCCACCAGUUUCAUGAACAUCAGAACGGUUUUAUAGUUCUCUGUAAUCCUGCUGACACAUUUAAGCAUAACCUCCUCAAAAUAAACCGGAUGAGGUCAUCAAAACAAUCCUAACAUAUCGGCACUUCUAAAAGAUAUGUUUCAAAUAAAUAUCCAGGGGCAGUUAUCACACAGUGCAGUGGAAGAGGCAUUCAACGGUGGUCACCCGUACACUGACAGCAUCCUGUGUGGUUUCACACACACACACACACACACACACACAGAAUCGCUCUCUUUCGGUCUCUUUGGAGGAAAAGCCUCUUAUACUCCUCAGAAGCAUUUAACAGACGUACAUGUUUUAAGUAAAAGCUGAACAACAAUAAUAAAAAAACUAACAGUUACGCCAUUUUUUAAAUAUAUAUAUAUAUAUAUAUAUAUAUAUAUAUAUUCACCUUCAGUAAGCAGCCAGACUACAUCCUGGACCAGGUUCAGCCUCCAGACUACAUCCUGGACCAGGUUCAGCCUCCAGACUACAUCCUGGACCAGAUUAAGCAGCCAGACUACAUCCUGGACCAGAUUAAGCAGCCAGACUACAUCCUGGACCAGGUUCAGCCUCCAGACUACAUCCUGGACCAGGUUCAGCCUCCAGACUACAUCCUGGACCAGAUUAAGCAGCCCGACUACAUCCUGGACCAGGUUCAGCCUCCAGACUACAUCCUGGACCAGAUUAAGCAGCCAGACUAAAUCCUGGACCAGGUUCAGCCUCCAGACUACAUCCUGGACCAGAUUAAGCAGCCAGACUACAUCCUGGACCAGGUUCAGCCUCCAGACUACAUCCUGGACCAGAUUAAGCAGCCAGACUACAUCCUGGACCAGAUUAAGCAGCCAGACUACAUCCUGGACCAGGUUCAGCGUCCAGACUACAUCCUGGACCUGGUUCAGCCUUCAGACGACAUCCUGGACCAGGUUCAGCCUCCAGACUACAUCCUGGACCAGAUUAAGCAGCCAGACUACAUCCUGGACCAGGUUCAGCCUCCAGACUACAUCCUGGACCAGAUUAAGCAACCAGACUACAUCCUGGACCAGGUUGAGCCUCCAGACUACAUCCUGGACCAGGUUCAGCCUCCAGACUACAUCCUGGACCAGGUUGAGCCUCCAGACUACAUCCUGGACCAGAUUAAGCAGCCAGACUACAUCCUGGACCAGGUUCAGCCUCCAGACUACAUCCUGGACCAGGUUCAGCCUCAGUCCUUCUCUGGUAUUUUAAGGCAUGAGUUGGAGUCUGGAGGUGAAUGAAAACCUGCCUCCAUGUUUUUUAAAGCUUUGGAGUGACGCUUUAUUCCUUUUUUUUGGGAACAGAAUCUGACAUGAAAGCAUUUUAUAUACGACCUAAAUAUAAUAUAAUCUUUGCUGCUUGACCUUGAUGUGACCUCUAGCUGUUUGUAGAUUUGGUUCCU